UACGAAGGGGGCUAGCGUUGUUCGGAAUUACUGGGCGUAAAGCGCACGUAGGCGGAUCGAUCAGUCAGGGGUGAAAUCCCAGGGCUCAACCCUGGAACUGCCUUUGAUACUGUCGAUCUGGAGUAUGGAAGAGGUGAGUGGAAUUCCGAGUGUAGAGGUGAAAUUCGUAGAUAUUCGGAGGAACACCAGUGGCGAAGGCGGCUCACUGGUCCAUUACUGACGCUGAGGCACGAAAGCUAGGGGAGCGAAUGGG
rnacentral:rRNA from 1 species